AUGGAAGAGCUUGGCCUCAAGGAGGCCGAUCUCCAAGAUGUGGUGAUCGAAGACGAGGAAUUACCAGCGGAGGCGACCCGCUGGAUGGCAAUAGCUAGGGUUCACACGGAUCGAACCUAUAGCCAAUACUGGUUUUUUAGGAACAUGAGGGCGUCUUGGGACCUGGCCAAGGAUGUGAAAAUCAGACCGCUCGAGGACAAUCUAUACACGCUGCAGUUUGCAUGCUUGGGAGACUGGGAACAUGUGAUGCAGGACGGGCCAUGGUCGUUCAAGGGAAGGGCUGUGGUUUUGGAACCAUAUGACGGCUACACAAAACUUUCGACGAUUGAUCUCACCAGGAUUGAGAUAUGGAUUCAGAUCCAAGACUUCCCUGAUGGUUUCUUCUCAAAAUCAAGGCUCUGUCUUCAACUGUGGGCGAAUUCAUAUACGCCGAGCCAAUGUCUCAGGAUGUUACCAAACCCUUGA
rnacentral:rRNA from 1 species